rnacentral:rRNA from 1 species
GACGAACGCUGGCGGCGUGCCUAAUACAUGCAAGUCGAACGAACCGCGACUAGGUGCUUGCACUUGGUCAAGGUGAGUGGCGAGCGGGUGAGUAACACGUGGGUAACCUACCUCAUAGUGGGGGAUAACAGUCGGAAACGACUGCUAAUACCGCAUAGGACAUAGGAUCACAUGAUCCAGUGAGGAAAGGUGGCGCAAGCUAUCGCUAAGAGAUGGACCCGCGGUGCAUUAGCUAGUUGGUAGGGUAAAGGCCUACCAAGGCGAUGAUGCAUAGCCGACCUGAGAGGGUGAUCGGCCACAUUGGGACUGAGACACGGCCCAAACUCCUACGGGAGGCAGCAGUGGGGAAUCUUCCGCAAUGGACGCAAGUCUGACGGAGCAACGCCGCGUGAGUGAAGAAGGUCUUCGGAUCGUAAAGCUCUGUUGUUAGAGAAGAACAGCGCAUAGAGUAACUGUUAUGCGUGUGACGGUAUCUAACCAGAAAGCCACGGCUAACUACGUG